AACAACUGAGUGUGUUUCUCAUGAAUCUCUAAGCAAGAUUGUUGAUUCAUCCAUUCAUGGUCUUCAAAGUUAUUUGAUUGUU
rnacentral:snoRNA from 10 species